AAGGUAUUCCUUAUGACCUUUACACUGGGCACAGUAAAAUGUAACAGCAUUACUGGCAUUCAUGGACUUGAUGAAUAGAACAGCCAAGGAUGAAGUACAAUGACCAUGGUUGACAGCGGGCAACUGAAACUGAGGAUAAGGGGAGACUACUGUACUCUGAAGAGUAUUCAAGGGGAGGCAGCUCUGAA